UUAAGCGACUAAGCGUACACGGUGGAUGCCCUGGCAGUCAGAGGCGAUGAAGGACGUGCUAAUCUGCGAUAAGCGUCGGUGAGGUGAUAUGAACCGUUAUAACCGGCGAUUUCCGAAUGGGGAAACCCAGUGUGUUUCGACACACUAUCAUUAACUGAAUCCAUAGGUUAAUGAGGCGAACCGGGGGAACUGAAACAUCUAAGUACCCCGAGGAAAAGAAAUCAACCGAGAUUCCCUUAGUAGCGGCGAGCGAACGGGGAGGAGCCCAGAGCCUGAAUCAGUGUGUGUGUUAGUGGAAGCGUCUGGAAAGGCGCGCGAUACAGGGUGACAGCCCCGUACACAAAAAUGCACAUAUUGUGAGCUCGAUGAGUAGGGCGGGACACGUGGUAUCCUGUCUGAAUAUGGGGGGACCAUCCUCCAAGGCUAAAUACUCCUGACUGACCGAUAGUGAACCAGUACCGUGAGGGAAAGGCGAAAAGAACCCCGGCGAGGGGAGUGAAAAAGAACCUGAAACCGUGUACGUACAAGCAGUGGGAGCCUCUUAAUGGGGUGACUGCGUACCUUUUGUAUAAUGGGUCAGCGACUUAUAUUCUGUAGCAAGGUUAACCGAAUAGGGGAGCCGAAGGGAAACCGAGUCUUAACUGGGCGUUAAGUUGCAGGGUAUAGACCCGAAACCCGGUGAUCUAGCCAUGGGCAGGUUGAAGGUUGGGUAACACUAACUGGAGGACCGAACCGACUAAUGUUGAAAAAUUAGCGGAUGACUUGUGGCUGGGGGUGAAAGGCCAAUCAAACCGGGAGAUAGCUGGUUCUCCCCGAAAGCUAUUUAGGUAGCGCCUCGUGAAUUCAUCUCCGGGGGUAGAGCACUGUUUCGGCAAGGGGGUCAUCCCGACUUACCAACCCGAUGCAAACUGCGAAUACCGGAGAAUGUUAUCACGGGAGACACACGGCGGGUGCUAACGUCCGUCGUGAAGAGGGAAACAACCCAGACCGCCAGCUAAGGUCCCAAAGUCAUGGUUAAGUGGGAAACGAUGUGGGAAGGCCCAGACAGCCAGGAUGUUGGCUUAGAAGCAGCCAUCAUUUAAAGAAAGCGUAAUAGCUCACUGGUCGAGUCGGCCUGCGCGGAAGAUGUAACGGGGCUAAACCAUGCACCGAAGCUGCGGCAGCGACGCUUAUGCGUUGUUGGGUAGGGGAGCGUUCUGUAAGCCUGUGAAGGUGUGCUGUGAGGCAUGCUGGAGGUAUCAGAAGUGCGAAUGCUGACAUAAGUAACGAUAAAGCGGGUGAAAAGCCCGCUCGCCGGAAGACCAAGGGUUCCUGUCCAACGUUAAUCGGGGCAGGGUGAGUCGACCCCUAAGGCGAGGCCGAAAGGCGUAGUCGAUGGGAAACAGGUUAAUAUUCCUGUACUUGGUGUUACUGCGAAGGGGGGACGGAGAAGGCUAUGUUGGCCGGGCGACGGUUGUCCCGGUUUAAGCGUGUAGGCUGGUUUUCCAGGCAAAUCCGGAAAACCAAGGCUGAGGCGUGAUGACGAGGCACUACGGUGCUGAAGCAACAAAUGCCCUGCUUCCAGGAAAAGCCUCUAAGCAUCAGGUAACAUCAAAUCGUACCCCAAACCGACACAGGUGGUCAGGUAGAGAAUACCAAGGCGCUUGAGAGAACUCGGGUGAAGGAACUAGGCAAAAUGGUGCCGUAACUUCGGGAGAAGGCACGCUGAUAUGUAGGUGAAGCGACUUGCUCGUGGAGCUGAAAUCAGUCGAAGAUACCAGCUGGCUGCAACUGUUUAUUAAAAACACAGCACUGUGCAAACACGAAAGUGGACGUAUACGGUGUGACGCCUGCCCGGUGCCGGAAGGUUAAUUGAUGGGGUUAGCGGUAACGCGAAGCUCUUGAUCGAAGCCCCGGUAAACGGCGGCCGUAACUAUAACGGUCCUAAGGUAGCGAAAUUCCUUGUCGGGUAAGUUCCGACCUGCACGAAUGGCGUAAUGAUGGCCAGGCUGUCUCCACCCGAGACUCAGUGAAAUUGAACUCGCUGUGAAGAUGCAGUGUACCCGCGGCAAGACGGAAAGACCCCGUGAACCUUUACUAUAGCUUGACACUGAACAUUGAGCCUUGAUGUGUAGGAUAGGUGGGAGGCUUUGAAGUGUGGACGCCAGUCUGCAUGGAGCCGACCUUGAAAUACCACCCUUUAAUGUUUGAUGUUCUAACGUGGGCCCCUAAUCGGGGUUGCGGACAGUGUCUGGUGGGUAGUUUGACUGGGGCGGUCUCCUCCUAAAGAGUAACGGAGGAGCACGAAGGUUGGCUAAUCCUGGUCGGACAUCAGGAGGUUAGUGCAAUGGCAUAAGCCAGCUUGACUGCGAGCGUGACGGCGCGAGCAGGUGCGAAAGCAGGUCAUAGUGAUCCGGUGGUUCUGAAUGGAAGGGCCAUCGCUCAACGGAUAAAAGGUACUCCGGGGAUAACAGGCUGAUACCGCCCAAGAGUUCAUAUCGACGGCGGUGUUUGGCACCUCGAUGUCGGCUCAUCACAUCCUGGGGCUGAAGUAGGUCCCAAGGGUAUGGCUGUUCGCCAUUUAAAGUGGUACGCGAGCUGGGUUUAGAACGUCGUGAGACAGUUCGGUCCCUAUCUGCCGUGGGCGCUGGAGAACUGAGGGGGGCUGCUCCUAGUACGAGAGGACCGGAGUGGACGCAUCACUGGUGUUCGGGUUGUCAUGCCAAUGGCACUGCCCGGUAGCUAAAUGCGGAAGAGAUAAGUGCUGAAAGCAUCUAAGCACGAAACUUGCCCCGAGAUGAGUUCUCCCUGAGACUUAGAGUCUCCUGAAGGAACGUUGAAGACGACGACGUUGAUAGGCCGGGUGUGUAAGCGCAGCGAUGCGUUGAGCUAACCGGUACUAAUGAACCGUGAGGCUUAACCUU
rnacentral:rRNA from 1 species